UACGAAGGGUGCAAACGUUGCUCGGAAUUAUUGGGCGUAAAGCGCACGUAGGCGGCUUAGCAAGUCCCAUGUGAAAGCCCCGGGCUCAACCUGGGAAUUGCAUUUGAGACUGCGUAGCUAGGGUGCGGAAGAGGGAAGCGGAAUUUCCGGUGUAGCGGUGAAAUGCGUAGAUAUCGGAAGGAACACCAGUGGCGAAAGCGGCUUCCUGGUCCAGCACCGACGUUCAGGCACGAAAGCGUGGGGAGCAAACAGG
rnacentral:rRNA from 1 species